rnacentral:rRNA from 1 species
GAGGAAUAUUGGUCAAUGGAGGCAACCCUGAGCCAGCCAAGUCGCGUGAAGGAUGAAGGUCUUAUGGAUUGUAAACUUCUUUUACACGGGAAUAAAGUGGGGGACGUGUCCCCCUUUGCAUGUACCGUGUGAAUAAGGAUCGGCUAACUCCGUGCCAGCAGCCGCGGUAAUACGGAGGAUCCGGGCGUUAUCCGGAUUUAUUGGGUUUAAAGGGUCCGUAGGCGGACUUAUAAGUCAGUGGUGAACGCCUGUCGCUUAACGAUAGAACUGCCAUUGAUACUGUAAGUCUUGAGUAUAUUGGAGGUAGCUGGAAUAAGUAGUGUAGCGGUUAACUGCAUAGAUAUUACUUAGAACACCAAUUGCGAAGGCAGGUUACCAAGAUAUAACUGACGCUGAGGGGCGAAAGCGUGGGGAGCGAACA